UACGAAGGGGGCUAGCGUUGCUCGGAAUCACUGGGCGUAAAGCGCACGUAGGCGGAUUGUUAAGUCAGGGGUGAAAUCCUGGAGCUCAACUCCAGAACUGCCUUUGAUACUGGCGAUCUCGAGUCCGGGAGAGGUGAGUGGAACUGGUGGUGGAGCGGUGAAAUGCGUUGAUAUCAUCAGGAACUCCGGUGGCGAAGGCGAGGUGCUGGACAUUUUCUGACGCUGAGGCGCGAAAGCCAGGGGAGCAAACGGG
rnacentral:rRNA from 1 species